CAUUAUUCACAACUGUAAAUAAAAUUAAAAAUUUACCAGAGUACUAUGAAUAUUUUAAAAAAUUUAAAACUCAAAGGGCUUGGCGGUGUUUUAGACCCAUCAGGGGAACCUGUCUCGUAAUCGACAAUCCGCGUUAAACCUAACCCUAUUUUGUAUCCAGUUUGUAUACCGUCGUCGUCAGGUAACUUUUAAAAAAUUAGAAGUUAGCAAUAAAAAUAAAAAUAGAUUAAUACGUCAGAUCAAGGUGCAGCUAAUAAAAGGGAGAGGAUGGGUUACAAUUAUAUCACUUAUAAUCACGGAUAGUUAAAUGAAAACAUAACUUGAAGGAGGACUUGAAAGUAAAAUAAAAUAUAUAAGGGAUUUGAAUAAGGCUCUGAAACGUGC
rnacentral:rRNA from 1 species